GUUAGGCCUGGCCCUGCCCACCAUCUGUAGUCCACAGUGCUCAGAUACCUCAGGCCAAACAAGUACCUGGGGGGCGACAGGGCCCCCCUGCUAGCAGACAGGUGCCUGAAGACUAGUGAGCCCACACCUGCAUCUGGACACAGACCGAGACAGAGCCCAGCACCCCAGACAGCCAUAUAUCUACAAAUGUGACCCUGGGAGGUGGGGACUUCGCGAGAGUGUUUCCUACGGGUGGUUCACAGAUAUCUUCAAGCCCCGCUGUGCUUCAUGACUACAUUUUUAGGCGCCAUCCUGGAUGUGUUGCUGUCCAUGGUGCUGAAGCCUCAUUGAGCCAAAGAGUCAAUUAAGUUUUGGUGCCUGGAAGCAAAGGGUGGGGCUGGAUGACCCAUGAGAUCUUCCUCCCCAGAAGGACUCUUGGACUAAGCCAUAGGAAGAUCCUAAAUUAGAGGAGAGAGCUGUUGGGGAGUGAAGAAAGAAGACUUAACCUGCCAAAGCCUCAGUAAGGCUAGAAAAACAAGACUCUUGCCAGAAAAGGUUUUUCUGUCCUGAGGGAAUUGCAUAACAGCAGGGGACUCAUGCAGGCUGCAGGCCUGGAGAAGUGGUGGCGGAGAGAGAGCCAGCAACCCAGGCACCAGUUGAAUUAUGUGUCACAAUUUAUAAACCAUUACGUGC
ensembl:lncRNA